rnacentral:misc_RNA from 1 species
GAUGAAGAACGUAGCGAAAUGCGAUAAGUAAUGUGAAUUGCAGAAUUCAGUGAAUCAUCGAAUCUUUGAACGCACAUUGCGCCCGCCAGUAUUCUGGCGGGCAUGCCUGUUCGAGCGUCAUUUCAACCCUCAGGCCCCGCCUGGCGUUGGGGAUCGGCGCGGCCCUCUCCGGGCUGCCGGCCCCGAAAACUAGUGGCGGUCUCGCUGUAGUCCUCCUCUGCGCAGUAGCAACGCUCGCACUGGAACUCGGCGCGGCCACGCCGUAAAACACCCCACUUCUGAAAGUUGACCUCGGAUCAGGUAGGAAUACCCGCUGAACUUAAGCAUAUCAAUACGGAGGA